ACAAACAAUGAUUUUUUUUCGUUCGAUUGGAUUUUAAAAUUUUGAUUUUGAAGUGCUAUAUUUGAGGUUGUUUUGUUGGGGAUCAUGUGCAAGACCAUUUUGAAAGCUUGUUGAAAUAAUGGAAAAAAAUUUCAUGGAAUUUUUAGUGGUGCAAGGGAAUAUUUCUCUGAUUUUUAGUCAUGGCAUAUCUGCCUUAGUUUAAACUGAAAAUUAGAGUUUUUUUUUUUAUAUCAUAAAUGCCUAUUUUCUUUUACUGACCCUUUUUUAUUUUCCUUAGUUGCCUAUUUUUAGCAAUUUAAAUGGUGCUUAAAGGUUUGUUUGGAGGGAACAGACCAUUGAAAUGUGAAGAAGUGAAUAUGUACCUGCCCAGUGCUGAUACACUAUGGAUUAUCCAUUAUGCUAAAUAUAGUAGUGACAAUCUAUUUGGACUUAAAAGACCUUUUUUUAUGGUGGUAUUAUCAGAAUAAUUAAUUGGUCAUAUGAUAUAUUAGUUUAUUGCACAAAGCUUGAUUUUAUUCUCUAUCAAUUAUCAAAGGUUUAGCAAGGAGUUGAAAGUUAAAGUAGCAAUGAUGCGCCUCUGAAAAUUGUACCCAUGAGAUAUCUCCAUUUACUUGAUGCUACUCUGCUGGAAGUUUCAUAGUUUUCCCUUUUCAUGAGUUUUUGUGUCAAAACUCAAAAUCUAUGCAACAUAUUUAACUGAAUACCAAGCCGGCAUUUUUUGUCCGUACUAUAACGUAAUCUCUAUGUUCCAAUGAACAUCCAUAUAAAUUAUCUUUUCUACUUUUUACAGGCAUUAAUUGCUUUGAA
rnacentral:misc_RNA from 1 species